rnacentral:rRNA from 1 species
CAGUCGCCGCGGUAAUGCGUAGGUGGCAAGCGUUGUCCGGAAUUAUUGGGCGUAAAGGGCUCGCAGGCGGUUUCUUAAGUCUGAUGUGAAAGCCCCCGGCUCAACCGGGGAGGGUCAUUGGAAACUGGGAAACUUGAGUGCAGAAGAGGAGAGUGGAAUUCCACGUGUAGCGGUGAAAUGCGUAAAGAUGUGGAGGAACACCAGUGGCGAAGGCGACUCUCUGGUCUGUAACUGACGCUGAGGAGCGAAAGCGUGGGGAGCGAACAGGAUUAGAGACCCCCGUAGUCCCUGUCUCUUAUAC